rnacentral:rRNA from 1 species
UACGUAGGGUGCGAGCGUUGUCCGGAAUUACUGGGCGUAAAGAGCUCGUAGGUGGUUUGUCGCGUUGUUCGUGAAAUGCCACAGCUUAACUGUGGGCGUGCGGGCGAUACGGGCAGACUGGAGUACUGCAGGGGAGACUGGAAUUCCUGGUGUAGCGGGGGAAUGCGCAGAUAUCAGGAGGAACACCGGUGGCGAAGGCGGGUCUCUGGGCAGUAACUGACGCUGAGGAGCGAAAGCGUGGGGAGCGAACAGG